rnacentral:ncRNA from 1 species
UAGAGUAGAUCUGUAUGCGUGAAGUACCGGGCGGACGGGGAGUUGCCGCCGGGCGAAAAGCGAAGGCUUGCGGUAUACAGAUCGCAUCCCGCUGC